GAUAGCUUCAAAAAUUGCUGCACGGGGCUUUAGAUUCUGCUGAAAUUCAUGAAACUCAACGGCACUUGGACGAACUUUGGCGAGGGAGAAUCGAUCUAUUUACGAGCGGUACGACUAAAACAAGCUUCGUACAACACAUCUCGAACUGUGCACAAUCAAUUAUCGGUUGGGAUCUCUCCUUAUUUUUGGAUUAUCAAGAUGACGUCCAAGGAGAUUUUAAAAUAAUAUAUGGGAAAAUGGACCUCAAAUUUACAGCUGGAUCGUAAGCAUGUGGAAGAAGCGUAUCGCCUGGUUAUGAACCCCGUUGAAGACCAAGUCGCUUGUGUUGUGAGAUAUCGUAUCGAUAUACAAGUUGGAAUGUAGAUUUGAUACUGUUUUAUAUAGACGCGGCCACAAGAGCUCGUCGCCAAAGAAAAACGCAACUGUAAGCGUGAUUGGUCGCUCACAGAGAUUCAUGUCACUUACGGAGCUAAUGAGCCGAAAGAUCCUUUUGUUAAAAACGUCCGUUUAUUGGUCAAGUAUUGUCGUGCGGGGGGACACCUGCGCCGUUGGUUUUUAAAGCGGUGGUCAUUUCAGUGUAUGCGUUGAAGACAGCAGGUGAAGUCCGACUCAAAAAAAAGAAAACUUUAUCCGUAAACACUGGCAAACAAAAGCCGUAAAAGGGAGCGACAUAAAAAAAUUGAGAUCCCCUCCAAAAACACAAUCCAGUCGCCUGUUAAGUUUCAACUUAAUAAGAUCAAAAGAGCAAGGCUCCCCUUUGAAAAGGCAUGAAAAUAAAAGUAAUCGACAGAGUAUUUCGUAAUGUAUCGAGAGCACGCAACGGAAUAUAAUGUGUGGGGAGGUUUUAUUAAUCAGAUUGCCUCUUAUCUUAGAGCAACAACAAUUUUAACAACAAAUCAAGAGGUCGAAUAUCGUUGAUUACUUACUAGAGGUGUUUUGAACUUGGCAUGUCGCUAUUUCCUCAAAUUUUCCCCCGUGAUAUGUUCUUUAAUCUCUUAAUCAAUGAACAUACGCGCCUUUUAAGUGUAAUUAAAACUUCGGGGUGAUUUCAGACGUCGUGGAGUUUGUUUUAUCAUAUAAAUUCCCUUUUCACAAAAAGGAAGUCCCUUUGAGAGUUAGUCUUGUAUUAAAACUCGCUUCCUGUCCAAAGUGAAUUAAUAAUUCAUUUUCGCCUUCCUUAUGGCACCUUGAAGCGAAUUCAAAUUGCUUUAUAAUUUCAUAAGGGAAAUAAUUGCACUCUCAUUAUAACACUUAAGCAUUCGAAAAUAAACAGAGCAAACAACGUU